rnacentral:misc_RNA from 1 species
UGCCAUGAUAAAGGUCCUGCAGCAG